rnacentral:misc_RNA from 1 species
UCCGACUUAACGUCGGCAGUCUCGCCAGAGUGCCCAGCUUUCCUGUUGGCAACUGACGACAGGGGUUGCGCUCGUUCGGGACUUAACCCAACACCUCACGGCACGAGCUGACGACAGCCAUGCACCACCUGUGAAGGCGCCCCGAAGGGAGACCGUGUUUCCACGGCUGUCACCUACAUGUCAAGCCCAGGUAAGGUUCUUCGCGUUGCGUCGAAUUGAACCACAUGCUCCGCUGCUUGUGCGGGUCCCCGUCAAUUCCUUUGAGUUUUAGCCUUGCGGCCGUACUCCCCAGGCGGGGCACUUACCGCGUUAGCGACGGCACGGGAGGAGUCGACACCUCCCACACCUAGUACCCAUCGUUUACGGCGUGGACUAC